UAUGGUCGCCAUUACAAGAUGACGCUGGCUCCACUGUGGUCUGUGACAAACAACUUCUUAUCUGGGAAAGUUGGCACAUGAUUUUUCACCACCCUGUGAGAAAGCUCCAUGCGGCAGCUUUGCAUUGGGGCUUGGGAUGCUUUAUUAAGGCUGGGAGGGGCAUCCGAGAGAGAGAAGAAGAAAUAUCCAGGGCCUGAAUAAACUGUUGAAAGAAGAUUCCCGAGUUGCGUCUUCCUUGCGGGCAAGGGGUCGCGACAAGUGGUGCCGAGACCCGGGAACCAGAACUUUCAGCAGUCAGGGGUGGUGCACCGGUUAGUCCCAGAUUUUAUGAUUCCAGAAAUGCCUCCCGCAUCAUUGGAGAGUAUCUAUCCGGAACCUGGUCCAUGGAAGCAGAAAACUUGAUCCAGUCUCAACUAACUCAGAUUGCUGUUUUGAAUAGUACCCGUGUUGAACCAGUGACUUUGGGUCAAUUCACCGAUUGGAUAUCUUCUGCUUUUUCCUUCUUCAAAGAGUGGGUGGGAGUAGGCAUUUUUGGUGCAAUGUGUUGCUUCGGUGUUGUACUCUGUUUUUGGCUUCUCUGUCGCCUUAAAACUCUCCAUGCACAAGAAAAGGCUAUGAUCAUACAAGCUCUUGCAGCUUUAGAAAAUGGCAACUCGCCUCAAGUCUGGCUUGCGCAUCUUAAGCAGUAAACCUUUGUCAUGUUCGUUACACCCCAAGUUAUUAUAACAUUGCACUGGGAUCGACAUGACUUUCCUUGUUAUUCUCUUAGUGUUGGAAAGCCCUUGCACUCUGCCGGUCUUACUGCCAUUGCACGCAGAUGGGUUUCCACACUAGUGCUUUUCUAUCGCCUUAAAGUCCGUGCCUUUCUUUCAGGGUGCUGUCAACUUGUUUGUCGUUAUAAACAGCCACAGUUCAGCCUCAGCUAUCCCCCUUCGUCCACCAUCGUCACGAUACAGGAUGCGAGGCAAGGCACUGCACUUGAGUGAUCCUUGACGUGGACCUCAAGGAGAGCAUGUCCUAUUGCAUGCGGGUUAGACGCGUCCACGCCCCGCCCCACGAAAAAAGGCGUCGGCUGAUAUGGCCUCAGAUCUGGGGAAGGGCCCUCCUUAGGACUGAGUCAUACUAUGCAGCCACUUCUGCACAGUGGGAUAGGACCUCUACUCUCGCCUGUAUUGUUUUAAGAAAACAGAAAGGGGGAACUGUGGUGAGCCGCUUCUGCCGUUUCUGCAGACUAUGGUCGCCAUUACAAGAUGACGCUGGCUCCGCUGUGGUCUGUGACAAACAACUUCUUAUCUGGGAAAGUUGGCACAUGAUUUUUCACCACCCUGUGAGAAAGCUCCAUGCGGCAGCUUUGCAUUGGGGCUUGGGAUGCUUUAUUAAGGCUGGGAGGGGCAUCCGAGAGAGAGAAGAAGAAAUAUCCAGGGCCUGAAUAAACUGUUGAAAGAAGA